AUUGAACGCUGGCGGAAGGCCUAACACAUGCAAGUCGAACGAGUGGCGGACGGGUGAGUAAUGUCUGGGAAACUGCCCGAUGGAGGGGGAUAACUACUGGAAACGGUAGCUAAUACCGCAUACCAUCGGAUGUGCCCAGAUGGGAUUAGCUUGUAGGUGAGGUAACGGCUCACCUAGGCGACGAUCCCUAGCUGGUCGGAGAGGAUGACCAGCCACACUGGAAGUGGUCCACGGUCCAGACUCCUACGGGGGGCAGCAGUGGGGAAUAUGGCACACGGGGCGGAAGCCUAAUGCAGCCAUGCCGCGUGUAUGAAGAAGGCCUUCGUGUUUUAAAGUACUUUCAGCGGGGAGGCGUUACCCGCAGAAGAAGCACCUGCUAACUCCGUGCCAGCAGCCGCGGUAUUAC
rnacentral:rRNA from 1 species